AAGAACUAGCCAAAAAACAAACAAACAAACAAACACCAGGAUGUUAAUAAUACAGAAAAAAACAACCUGCUUAUAAGUAAAACUGGGGGGUAGUGAUGCUCGUGGGUUGAGGGAAACCACGAUUGGGGAUGUGAUCACUUUUCUUGAGUUGAUUGAACUUUGUUCCAUACAGAUUCUUUUUUUUUUUUUUCCUGACAGAGAGCUGCUGCAAACAAACCAAAUGAAGGAGGAGAAAGAGUCUACGACGGACGGGUAGGAACGUUUUCAUCUGCUGAUUUAGAAGAUGAAGCUGUAAUUAAUGCAACGCUCGGCCUCAAACACACACGUUGUCGGCUGGUGGGCUGCACUGCGCUGCUCUGCGUGUGGGUGGUCUAAGCCAAGCGGAGGAGAGAAGGAUUAACACCAAGGCUGCCCGGAGGAAAAGAAAAAGGAAGGAUGAAGAGAAAAUGGGAGAUGGAGAAGAGAUAAACAUCUGCACACCAGAUGUGCUGCUCAGCAUCCAGAGGUGGUUUAUGAAACAGAGAAGGCAGUGAAAAAGACUCUUUUGUUACCGGGACCCCUGCUUUAUGAGUGCAGCUUUCCUCUCCUUCUCACUCCCAGUUUUCUGUUUGCUCAGUCUGUCUGUCAUCUGCUUGUAUACAUUACACGUCCACUUGCUCUGUUUUCAUCUCUUCCUCUGCUCCUGGAGGAACCUGCCAUGAUGCAGACUUAGAUGGCUGAUCACCAGCUGUCAAAACACGUUCAGAGACAGAGCGGGCCGAGGAAGAUCGGUUCUGAAUGUGGUCUUUUUAGUCCUCUCAAGCAAUAAUAGUGCUUGGAACUCUGCUUUCUGUUUUUGUACAUUUUUAUUUUGAAGGGUUGCAAACUCCAAUUUUCAGUUCUUUAAAGUCCAACUCCAUUUAAUUUUUUAAAUCUAUUUUAAAAGCGUUCCCAGUGGUCUCUUUAAUUAUGAUUAUGAUGUUUUUAAUUAAAACCCCUGUGCCAUUUUCUAGGACAUAGUUUCUCAACAGGAGUUCAUCAGAAAUCUGCUUCUCAAUAGGAGUUAGCCUGCUCUGACUUCCCAUCAUCCCUUCGUUUACACUUUCUCUAUUAGCCAUACUACAAAAAUGAUAAGCAAGUUAUGAGCUACCCAGUCGUACAGUUUUGAGACAGAUGACAACUGGAACGUGGAAAAAUGAAUGUACAGUACAUGGAUCUAGUCAUCUACAACUGGAUGCAUCAGGAUGGAGUGGUGCUGGGAGCUUGCUGUUAAAGUUUUAAGUCACACCUACAAACUUUUUCUAAUGACAUUUUUUGAUCUGCUCCUGAUUUACAUUGAUUUAAAUAAAAAAAAAAAAA